UUCCUUCUGGUCAUCAAUACCAUUUGAUGACCGGAAGGGAUUCCUUCCGGCCAUCAAGACCAUUUGAUGACCGGAAGGGAUUCCUUCUGGUCAUUGAGACCAUUUGAUGACCGGAAGGAA
rnacentral:miRNA from 1 species